AUAAUGGGUCAGCGACUUAUAUUCUGUAGCAAGGUUAACCGAAUAGGGGAGCCGAAGGGAAACCGAGUCUUAACUGGGCGUUAAGUUGCAGGGUAUAGACCCGAAACCCGGUGAUCUAGCCAUGGGCAGGUUGAAGGUUGGGUAACACUAACUGGAGGACCGAACCGACUAAUGUUGAAAAAUUAGCGGAUGACUUGUGGCUGGGGGUGAAAGGCCAAUCAAACCGGGAGAUAGCUGGUUCUCCCCGAAAGCUAUUUAGGUAGCGCCUCGUGAAUUCAUCUCCGGGGGUAGAGCACUGUUUCGGCAAGGGGGUCAUCCCGACUUACCAACCCGAUGCAAACUGCGAAUACCGGAGAAUGUUAUCACGGGAGACACACGGCGGGUGCUAACGUCCGUCGUGAAGAGGGAAACAACCCAGACCGCCAGCUAAGGUCCCAAAGUCAUGGUUAAGUGGGAAACGAUGUGGGAAGGCCCAGACAGCCAGGAUGUUGGCUUAGAAGCAGCCAUCAUUUAAAGAAAGCGUAAUAGCUCACUGGUCGAGUCGGCCUGCGCGGAAGAUGUAACGGGGCUAAACCAUGCACCGAAGCUGCGGCAGCGACACUGUGUGUUGUUGGGUAGGGGAGCGUUCUGUAAGCCUGUGAAGGUGUCUGUGAGGAUGCUGGAGGUAUCAGAAGUGCGAAUGCUGACAUAAGUAACGAUAAAGCGGGUGAAAAGCCCGCUCGCCGGAAGACCAAGGGUUCCUGUCCAACGUUAAUCGGGGCAGGGUGAGUCGACCCCUAAGGCGAGGCCGAAAGGCGUAGUCGAUGGGAAACAGGUUAAUAUUCCUGUACUUGGUGUUACUGCGAAGGGGGGACGGAGAAGGCUAUGUUGGCCGGGCGACGGUUGUCCCGGUUUAAGCGUGUAGGCUGGUUUUCCAGGCAAAUCCGGAAAAUCAAGGCUGAGGCGUGAUGACGAGGCACUACGGUGCUGAAGCAACAAAUGCCCUGCUUCCAGGAAAAGCCUCUAAGCAUCAGGUAACAUCAAAUCGUACCCCAAACCGACACAGGUGGUCAGGUAGAGAAUACCAAGGCGCUUGAGAGAACUCGGGUGAAGGAACUAGGCAAAAUGGUGCCGUAACUUCGGGAGAAGGCACGCUGAUAUGUAGGUGAAGUCCCUCGCGGAUGGAGCUGAAAUCAGUCGAAGAUACCAGCUGGCUGCAACUGUUUAUUAAAAACACAGCACUGUGCAAACACGAAAGUGGACGUAUACGGUGUGACGCCUGCCCGGUGCCGGAAGGUUAAUUGAUGGGGUCAGCGCAAGCGAAGCUCUUGAUCGAAGCCCCGGUAAACGGCGGCCGUAACUAUAACGGUCCUAAGGUAGCGAAAUUCCUUGUCGGGUAAGUUCCGACCUGCACGAAUGGCGUAAUGAUGGCCAGGCUGUCUCCACCCGAGACUCAGUGAAAUUGAACUCGCUGUGAAGAUGCAGUGUACCCGCGGCAAGACGGAAAGACCCCGUGAACCUUUACUAUAGCUUGACACUGAACAUUGAGCCUUGAUGUGUAGGAUAGGUGGGAGGCUUUGAAGUGUGGACGCCAGUCUGCAUGGAGCCGACCUUGAAAUACCACCCUUUAAUGUUUGAUGUUCUAACGUGGACCCGUGAUCCGGGUUGCGGACAGUGUCUGGUGGGUAGUUUGACUGGGGCGGUCUCCUCCUAAAGAGUAACGGAGGAGCACGAAGGUUGGCUAAUCCUGGUCGGACAUCAGGAGGUUAGUGCAAUGGCAUAAGCCAGCUUGACUGCGAGCGUGACGGCGCGAGCAGGUGCGAAAGCAGGUCAUAGUGAUCCGGUGGUUCUGAAUGGAAGGGCCAUCGCUCAACGGAUAAAAGGUACUCCGGGGAUAACAGGCUGAUACCGCCCAAGAGUUCAUAUCGACGGCGGUGUUUGGCACCUCGAUGUCGGCUCAUCACAUCCUGGGGCUGAAGUAGGUCCCAAGGGUAUGGCUGUUCGCCAUUUAAAGUGGUACGCGAGCUGGGUUUAGAACGUCGUGAGACAGUUCGGUCCCUAUCUGCCGUGGGCGCUGGAGAACUGAGGGGGGCUGCUCCUAGUACGAGAGGACCGGAGUGGACGCAUCACUGGUGUUCGGGUUGUCAUGCCAAUGGCACUGCCCGGUAGCUAAAUGCGGAAGAGAUAAGUGCUGAAAGCAUCUAAGCACGAAACUUGCCCCGAGAUGAGUUCUCCCUGACCCUUUAAGGGUCCUGAAGGAACGUUGAAGACGACGACGUUGAUAGGCCGGGUGUGUAAGCGCAGCGAUGCGUUGAGCUAACCGGUACUAAUGAACCGUGAGGCUUAACCUU
rnacentral:rRNA from 1 species